CUAGACCCUGGGAGGCCAGGGGACUGUCAGCAGGGGUGAGGAGCAGAGGGUGCAGACACAGGAGCAUCCUGGUUGGCAGGCUGACAUCUUCAAGUGGGACCAGAAGACACCCCAACUCAGGGAGACGGAGCUGUCAUCACACGCUGUACAAA